rnacentral:rRNA from 1 species
GACGAACGCUGGCGGCGUGCUUAACACAUGCAAGUCGAACGGAAAGGCCCUGCUUUUGUGGGGUUCUCGAGUGGCGAACGGGUGAGUAACACGUGAGUAACCUGCCCUUGACUUUGGGGUAACUUCAGGAAACUGGGGCUAAUACCGGAUAGGAUCUCCUGCUGCAGGGUGGGGGUUGGAAAGUUUCGGCGGUUGGGGAUGGACUCGCGGCUGAUCAGCUUGUUGGUGGGGUAGUGGCUUACCAAGGCUUUGACGGGUAGCCGGCCUGUGAGGGUGGACGGCCACAAUGGUCCUACGAUACGGCGCAGAGUCCUACGGGAGGCAGCAGGGGGGAAUCUUGCACAACGGGCGGAAGCCUGAGGCAGAAACCCCGCGUGCGGAAUGACGGCCUUCUGGUUGUAAACCGCUUUCGCCUGUGACGAAGCGUGAGUGACGGUAAUGGGUAAAGAAGCACCGGCUAACUACGUG